AAAAGAAACUUUGCAGCCCAGGAGGGACUGGCAAGAAAUAUUCAAAAUAUUCAGUGAUGAAGAGCCAGGACCUACAGCCAAAUUACUCUACCCAGCAAAGCUAUCAUUUAGAAUCAAAGGACAGAUAAAGAGCUUCCCCAACAAGAAAAGGCUAAAAGAGUUCAUGACCACAAAACCAUUAUUAUAUGAAAUGUCAAGAGGAUUUAUUUAAGAAAAAGA